rnacentral:rRNA from 1 species
AUUGUACGCUGGCGGCAGGCCUAACACAUGCAAGUCGAGCGAGCGGCGGACGGGUGAGUCAUGUCUGGGAAACUGCCUGUUGGAGGGGGAUAACUACUGGAAACGGUAGCUAAUACCGCAUACCAUCUGAUGUGCCAAGGUGGGAUUAGCUAGUCGGUGGGGUGACGGGUCACCUAGGCGACGAUCCCUAGCUGGUCUGAGAGGAUGACCAGGCAGACGGGAACUGAGACACGGUCCAGAGUGCUACGGGAGGCAGCAGUGGGGAAUAUUGCACAAUGGGGGCAAGCCUGAUGCAGCCAUGCCGCGUGUGUGAAGAAGGCCAUGGGGGUGUAAAGCACUGUCAGCGGGGAGGCGUUACCCGCAGAAGAAGCACCGGCUAACUCCGUGCCAGCAGCCGCGGUAAUAC